rnacentral:rRNA from 1 species
GAUGAACGCUGGCGGCGUGCCUAAUACAUGCAAGUCGAGCGAACGGACGCGAAGCUUGCUUUUCUGAUGUUAGCGGCGGACGGGUGAGUAACACGUGGAUAACCUACCUAUAAGACUGGGAUAACUUCGUGAAACCGGAGCUAAUACCGGAUAAUAUUUUCAACCGCAUGGUUCAAAAGUGAAAGACGGUCUUGCUGUCACUUAUAGAUGGAUCCGCGCUGCAUUAGCUAGUUGGUAAGGUAACGGCUUACCAAGGCAACGAUGCAUAGCCGACCUGAGAGGGUGAUCGGCCACACUGGAACUGAGACACGGUCCAGACUCCUACGGGAGGCAGCAGUAGGGAAGCUUCCGCAAUGGGCGAAAGCCUGACGGAGCAACGCAGCGUGAGUGAUGAAGGUCUUCGGAUCGUAAAACUCUGUUAUUAGGGAAGAACAUAUGUGUAAGUAACUGUGCACAUCUUGACGGUACCUAAUCAGAAAGCAACGGCUAACUACGUG